UACAGAGGGUGCAAGCGUUGUUCGGAAUUACUGGGCGUAAAGGGCGCGUAGGCGGCCCGCUAAGUCGAACGUGAAAUCCCCGGGCUCAACCCGGGAACUGCGUCCGAUACUGGCAGGCUUGAAUCCGGGAGGGGGAUGUGGAAUUCCAGGUGUAGCGGUGAAAUGCGUAGAUAUCUGGAGGAACACCGGUGGCGAAGGCGGCAUCCUGGACCGGUAUUGACGCUGAGGCGCGAAAGCCAGGGGAGCAAACGGG
rnacentral:rRNA from 1 species